CCCUUGUCCCAAGAAGAGCAGGAGAUCCUAGUUAUCUACUUCACAGUUACAGAUUCCUUUGUUCCUUCUCCAGUCCCACUGCUUUGCUUGACUAGCUUUAA
ensembl:misc_RNA Y_RNA Y RNA